rnacentral:rRNA from 1 species
AGAGUUUGAUUCUGGCUCAGGAUGAACGCUAGCUACAGGCUUAACACAUGCAAGUCGAGGGGCAUCAUGAAGUUUGCUUGCAAACUUGAUGGCGACCGGCGCACGGGUGAGUAACGCGUAUCCAACCUUCCCCUUAGUAGGGCAUAGCCCGGCGAAAGUCGGAUUAAUACCCUAUGUUUUUCCAAUGAGGACAUCUGAGCUGGAACAAAGAUUCAUCGCUAAGGGAUGGGGAUGCGUCUGAUUAGGUAGUCGGCGGGGUAACGGCCCACCGAGCCUUCGAUCAGUAGGGGUUCUGAGAGGAAGGUCCCCCACAUUGGAACUGAGACACGGUCCAAACUCCUACGGGAGGCAGCAGUGAGGAAUAUUGGUCAAUGGACGGGAGUCUGAACCAGCCAAGUAGCGUGCAGGAUGACGGCCCUAUGGGUUGUAAACUGCUUUUAUGCGGGGAUAACGUGAGGGACGCGUCCCUUAUUGCAGGUACCGCAUGAAUAAGGACCGGCUAAUUCCGUGCCAGCCGCCGC